UACGAAGGGGGCUAGCGUUGUUCGGAUUUACUGGGCGUAAAGGGCGCGUAGGCGGACAGUUUAGUCAGAGGUGAAAGCCCAGGGCUCAACCUUGGAAUUGCCUUUGAUACUGGCUGUCUUGAGUACGGGAGAGGUGAGUGGAACUCCGAGUGUAGAGGUGAAAUUCGUAGAUAUUCGGAAGAACACCAGUGGCGAAGGCGACUCACUGGCCCGUUACUGACGCUGAGGCGCGAAAGCGUGGGGAGCGAACAGG
rnacentral:rRNA from 1 species